rnacentral:rRNA from 1 species
UACGGAGGGUGCAAGCGUUAUCCGGAUUUACUGGGCUUAAAGGGUGCGUAGGCGGCUAUGUAAGUCCGUGGUGAAAUCUUCCCGCUUAACGGGAAAACUGCCGUUGAUACUAUAUAUCUUGAAUGCUGUAGAGGUAAGCAGAAUAUGUCAUGUAGCGGUGAAAUGCUUAGAGAUGACAUAGAAUACCUAUUGCGAAGGCAGCUUACUACACAGAUAUUGACGCUCAUGCACGAAAGCGUGGGGAUCAAACAGG